UGAACGCUGGCGGCAUGCCUUACACAUGCAAGUCGAACGGCAGCGGGGGAAAGCUUGCUUUCCUGCCGGCGAGUGGCGAACGGGUGAGUAAUACAUCGGAACGUGCCCUGUAGUGGGGGAUAACUAGUCGAAAGAUUAGCUAAUACCGCAUACGACCUGAGGGUGAAAGUGGGGGACCGCAAGGCCUCAUGCUAUAGGAGCGGCCGAUGUCUGAUUAGCUAGUUGGUGGGGUAAAGGCCUACCAAGGCGACGAUCAGUAGCUGGUCUGAGAGGACGAUCAGCCACACUGGGACUGAGACACGGCCCAGACUCCUACGGGAGGCAGCAGUGGGGAAUUUUGGACAAUGGGGGCAACCCUGAUCCAGCAAUGCCGCGUGUGUGAAGAAGGCCUUCGGGUUGUAAAGCACUUUUGUCCGGAAAGAAAUCGCAC
rnacentral:rRNA from 1 species